rnacentral:lncRNA from 1 species
AAGAGGUCGUGCCCGAUGAGGCCGUGAAAUACCACCUAUUAGAGGUCGUGCCCAGAGAGGCCGUGAUAAACCACCUCUAAGAGGUCGUGCCCAGAGAGGCCGUGAUAAACCACCUGUGAAAGGUCGUGCCCAGAGAGGCCGUGAUAAACCACCUCUAAGAGGUCGUGCCCAGAGAGGCCGUGAUAAACCACCUAUUAGAGGUCGUGCCCGAUGAGGCCGUGAUAUGCCACCUAUUAGAGGUCGCGCCCAAUGGGGCCGUGAAUUGCCACCUGUUAAAGGUCGCGCCGAGUGGGGCCG